rnacentral:rRNA from 1 species
AACGAACGCUGGCGGCAGGCUUGACACAUGCAAGUCGAGCGCCCCGCAAGGGGAGCGGCAGACGGGUGAGUAACGCGUGGGAAUCUACCCAUCUCUACGGAAUAACGCAUGGAAACGUGUGCUAAUACCGUAUACGUCCUUCGGGAGAAAGAUUUAUCGGAGAUGGAUGAGCCCGCGUUGGAUUAGCUAGUUGGUGGGGUAAAGGCCUACCAAGGCGACGAUCCAUAGCUGGUCUGAGAGGAUGAUCAGCCACACUGGGACUGAGACACGGCCCAGACUCCUACGGGAGGCAGCAGUGGGGAAUAUUGGACAAUGGGCGCAAGCCUGAUCCGGCCAUGCCGCGUGAGUGAUGAAGGCCCUAGGGUUGUAAAGCUCUUUCACCGGUGAAGAUAAUGACGGUAACCGGAGAAGAAGCCCCGGCUAACUUCGUGCCAGCCGCCGCGGUAAGAC